rnacentral:lncRNA from 1 species
AACACAUCACAUCUAAUGUGGACAUAUCAGACGCCUUGUGAAACACUACAGGAAAAAUUCAGUUUCGAGUUAUGGCACUUGCCGCAUAGAUGUGGGGGGCCUUGCACUAAUAGUGAUAGUUACCACUGCAUUUAGAAAUUGAAAGCAUUCAUGCAGACAAGGAUGGUUCUUUAUAUUUUUGGCUACCACUUCAAAUGCCUCCACCAAGUGUUACAAUGCUGCAUGCAGCCAUACUAAGGAUCUCGCAGCAACACCUGCAGGUAAAAAGCAGAAGCAGUCAAAGUGCUCGUGUGUUCUAGACACUAUGUUUGAAAACUUUUAGGCAAGAGUGCAAGAAGCAGACAUAACAACUGCAUUUAUUUCCAUAAUUCCCCAUUUGAAUGGCCUUUUCUUUUUGCUUAGACAAUGCCUACGCCUAGCCACAGCAGCUCCCUCAUACAGACUCCGCAAGCCAAGAGGCCGUGGAGGCAAAUGCAGGCAGACAGCACACCUCGAACAGCCACCUUGACUGCGGGGGUGUCACCCUAGUUGCCAAGGAAACAUUUGAGGGAAAGCCACAGGCAAUGUGAGCAGCCACUUCUCCAUGUAAACGAUACUCUUUCUCUCGGAUGACUCCUACGUUCGCCACGCCAGCACACUUGUGCACAAAGAUGCCACGGAGGCACGUGCAGGUCAGAGGCAAGAAGCAGUGGCACUGGUGUCAACAUUCACCCAAUUUCUUUUUCUUACACUGAGGCAGCCAGCACACCUCGAACAGCCACCUUGACUGCGGGUGUGUCAGUAGAUUCCUGUUGUACAUAUGCUCAUAAUAAACUUCAGUAAACUUGAACUUGAUAACAAACUUGAAGGCAAAUGGGA